rnacentral:rRNA from 1 species
CGGAGGGUGCAAGCGUUAAUCGGAAUUACUGGGCGUAAAGGGUUCGUAGGUGGUUUAUUAAGUUAUUUGUAAAAUCCCUGGGCUUAACCUGGGCAGGUCAGAUAAUACUGGUAGACUCGAGUAUGGGAGAGGGUAGUGGAAUUUCCGGUGUAGCGGUGAAAUGCGUAGAGAUCGGAAGGAACACCAGUGGCGAAGGCGGCUACCUGGCCUAAUACUGACACUGAGGAACGAAAGCGUGGGGAGCAAACAGGAUUAGAUACCCUGGUAGUCCACGCCGUAAACGAUGUCAACUAGCUGUUGGUCAUAUUGAUAUGAUUAGUGGCGCAGCAAACGCGAUAAGUUGACCGCCUGGGGGAGUACGGUCGCAAGAUUA